GUUCAAAGAAGGCAAAAAAGAAGUCUUGCUAUAAUGUGGGAUCCCUCGUUCAAGCAGAGAUUACUGAAAAAAAGCCUCUUGAAAUGAGAUUGAAAUUUGGUAUUGGUUUCCGUGGGAGGAUUCAUAUAACUGAGGUUAAUGAUGAUUCUAUUUUGGAUGAUCCAUUUGCUAACUUCAGAAUCGGUCAAACAGUUACUGCAAGGAUUGUUGCUAAAGCUAGUAAAGGAGAUAAUAAAAAAAUGAAGCUCUGGGAGCUAUCUAUUAAACCAAAAAUUCUUACAUGUGAGUCGGGCGAUAAAAUGUCCAAGUGUGAAUUUUCAUCUGGACAAUGUGUCGCUGGUUAUGUGUAUAAAGUGGACGAUGAAUGGGCCUGGUUAACUAUAUCUCG
rnacentral:misc_RNA from 1 species